rnacentral:rRNA from 1 species
UGCGUAACGCGUAUGCAACCUACCCAUUACAGGGGGAUAACACUGAGAAAUCGGUACUAAUACCCCAUAACAUCCAGGGAGGCAUCUUCUUGGGUUGAAAACUCCGGUGGUAAUGGAUGGGCAUGCGUUGUAUUAGUUAGUUGGUGGGGUAACGGCUCACCAAGACGACGAUACAUAGGGGGACUGAGAGGUUAACCCCCCACAUUGGUACUGAGACACGGACCAAACUCCUACGGGAGGCAGCAGUGAGGAAUAUUGGUCAAUGGACGCAAGUCUGAACCAGCCAUGCCGCGUGCAGGAAGACGGCUCUAUGAGUUGUAAACUGCUUUUGUACGAGGGUAAACGCAGAUACGUGUAUCUGUCUGAAAGUAUCGUACGAAUAAGGAUCGGCUAACUCCGUGCCAGCAGCCGCGGUAAUACGGAGGAUUCAAGCGUUAUCCGGAUUUAUUGGGUUUAAAGGGUGCGUAGGCGGUCGGAUAAGUUAGAGGUGAAAUCCCGGGGCUCAACUUCGGAAUUGCCUCUGAUACUGUUCGGCUAGAGAGUAGUUGCGGUAGGCGGAAUGUAUGGUGUAGCGGUGAAAUGCUUAGAGAUCAUACAGAACACCGAUUGCGAAGGCAGCUUACCAAGCUACUUCUGA